ensembl:snRNA U6 U6 spliceosomal RNA
GCUUGCUUCGGCAAUGCAUAUAAUAAAAUUGGAACAGUACAAAGAAGAUUAGCAUGGUUCCUGAGCAAGUGUGUAGUCCAAAGUCUUGAAGCAUUCCAUAUUUUU